GAGAGAGAGAGACUGUGUUUGUAAAGAAAAAAAAUGGAAUAUAAUUUACGAAUGACAGGAAGUCUUUUCACAAAAUUUAAGAGGAACCAAAAAAAAAAAAAGGAAUGAUAAAAAGUGCAUCUCUGGACCUUAAACAGGGUAGUCAUCCUUGCCGAUCCAAUGGCUCCACGACAUCUCGUCAAGAACUCAAUAGCCCUAGCUUGGAGUUCACCCUAGGAAGACCAGACUAGCAGGACAGAAGAUAAUGCUAGUGGAGCUACAUGUCGGUGGUAUUCAUUCUGCGGCUGCCGGGAAGUUAAAAGGUAUUGAUAUCAGCAAUGAGAAGAAUAUAAGGAGGUCUAUAUGAAGAAUGAGGAGGAAAUGCAAAUAUCAACUACGGCAUUCUAUUUUGUAUGGUGCAUGAACCUUAUGCUCUUCAUGUGGUCUUUAUUCUUCUCCUUUGGCUUUUCUUUUGACCCUCAUUUAAGACAAAAUUAAUUCUUCACUGCUUGUAUUAUUCUUAUUAUUUUCUCCCUUUGUUUCACACUCAUAGCCACAAGGGAGUGGAAUGGCUAGAGCUCAAGUUGAUAAGUGUCUGAUAUAUGAUGUACACAUUAAAAGUUGGAAAGACCUAGAUCUGUUAUUUAAUGCUGCAAUCUCAGCAAAAUCCUUUCCCUUAGUUUUCUUUCCCUUUUAUUUUUCAUGAUUUCCUCGUUUCACAACCAUUGUUUUUGAUGGUUGUUGGGACUUUGGUGUUGUAGGAGCUUGCCCAAGUCCCUCAUAAAUUAUUUAAACAUGUGGAUGGGCGAUCGUGCG
rnacentral:lncRNA from 1 species